ensembl:lncRNA
AUGAGAAACAAGUGUGAUGAGGAUAUAAGUAAACUGUUUCUGAGGCAGGAGCUGAAGUCUUUGAGUAAGAAGUCUCAGUCCAUCACAGGGACACACAGAGACAAACCACCAGUCGCACACUCAAUCACACACAGGUACAGUAGGUGUAGGAGACUAUUUUAAUGUUCAGCCUGCAUGAAAAACUCAGUGACCGACUAUAAUCAGCAAUAAUAAUAAAAAAUGUUUUGUCGGUGUUCCACACCUUUAAGUAGAUCCUUUACUCCUUAUAAAGACUUUAAUGAACUCUAAAUUAUAGACCCUUUUUCUUUCUUUCCUGAACUGUCCUUUGGUUGAGCAGAUUAUCAUUAUUAAAUAUGCACGAUGCCCUUUUAGCUCCUCACCUGAUCAUCGCCUCACAUGUAAAAACCUGGGGAGGUCCAAUUAUCUGAUCUGAAACAUCUGACGUGGGGGGUCAGACAUCUGCUCCCCUGGCCUCCAUCUCUGCUGCUCCUUUCAAAGCAGAAGAAGAUGAACAGAAGCGUUAGAUAACCAUCAGUGUCUCUAGUAUCGCUCCUCAAAGAGGUUGAAGGCCCAGAUCGCCUAUAAUUGGAUUUGAUUUGCACUCCCAGCAUCAGUCAGGGAGAUUAAGACCAAGUGCAAAAAUCCCCGCCAUUCCUUUUCAUCCCGAUGACAAGCAAGGCCAAACAGAUCCAAAGAACAUUUUCUGAUGGUUUCCAUCCAUCUAACAGGCGCAGCAGGAAGUGAAGGUCCGGAGCAACUUUAAAAGUGUGUUUUUUUUAGUUGGGAAUCUUAAAGGUGUGGAUGAUGGAGAAGAUGAAAGUCAGCAGGAAUCUUCAUGAUACCUAAAGUGGAACAACAGUUUACUCUUUAACUGGAAGUCGUUAGAAGUUGUUCUACGUAUAGAAACCAGAUCCUGCCAACAAAAGCUCCCAGUCAGAAUAAUACCAGACUUAACUUAUUUUUCUUCCUCUGCAUCGCCCGCGGGAAAGAGGGAGGUUCUGUUCUGGACUGAUAAGUCAUCUAUUUAAACGGAUCGUCAUUCUCACAGGUAUGUAAAUAAAAAUACAACCCAUAUUCCUCUCCCCUUUUAUUUCCACUCCUUUCACAACAAGCAAUGCUUACAGUAGAUUAAAUAUCACCAUCAAUAGACUUCCCCACGCUCGGGUGUCGUAUUCACUCUACCCCAUGCCAAAAGACUAAUAUUAGUAUCUCCAGAAAAUAAUCUCUCUUUAUUUCGCAAGUUCCCUGCUAAGGCAUUCACAUUUAUCAGAGGAUUUAAAUGCGGAUGAAAUAGUAUAUAAGCUGGAUCCCCUCAGGAGAGGUUCUCAUUCUCUUGUAUUCUUUCAGAUGAGGAGAGAAAAGGAGCACCUUGGCGGAGAAAAGGGAGGAGGAGGAUGCCAAGGAGGAGGAGGAAUUAAUUUUUCCCCUCUGGGAGAAACACAUGCUGGAUCUGGAGAGUUGGAGGGAAUCUUCCCAUCUUGCUCUGACUGGCAUUAAGUGGGAGGAAGAGGGUGAGGGAAGGAGAUGUCACGGUUGUUACUAAUGAUUUAUUGUCUGAAACGUGAACGGUGUUCUGUGGGUGCUUGUCGUUCAAAACGUUCUGGAGAUUCUUUUUUGUCCCAGAGCUUCGCUUGAGAU